rnacentral:rRNA from 2 species
AGACCCGAAACCCGGUGAUCUAGCCAUGGGCAGGUUGAAGGUUGGGUAACACUAACUGGAGGACCGAACCGACUAAUGUUGAAAAAUUAGCGGAUGACCUGUGGCUGGGGGUGAAAGGCCAAUCAAACCGGGAGAUAGCUGGUUCUCCCCGAAAGCUAUUUAGGUAGCGCCUCGUGAAUUCAUCUCCGGGGGUAGAGCACUGUUUCGGCUAGGGGGCCAUCCCGGCUUACCAACCCGAUGCAAACUGCGAAUACCGGAGAAUGUUAUCACGGGAGACACACGGCGGGUGCUAACGUCCGUCGUGAAGAGGGAAACAACCCAGACCGCCAGCUAAGGUCCCAAAGUCAUGGUUAAGUGGGAAACGAUGUGGGAAGGCCCAGACAGCCAGGAUGUUGGCUUAGAAGCAGCCAUCAUUUAAAGAAAGCGUAAUAGCUCACUGGUCGAGUCGGCCUGCGCGGAAGAUGUAACGGGGCUAAACCAUGCACCGAAGCUGCGGCAGCGACACUCAGGUGUUGUUGGGUAGGGGAGCGUUCUGUAAGCCUGUGAAGGUGGCCUGUGAGGGUUGCUGGAGGUAUCA